ensembl:lncRNA uncharacterized LOC113912450
CCCAGGGCAGGAUGCGCAGGGCAGGGGCGGUGGGGGAGGGGUAACCCGGCCAAGACGACGGAUACAGAAAGGGGCGGGGCGCAGUGGGACCGAUGAGGUGAGGAGCGGAGAGGCGGGGAGCAGCCCAGGGGGCGGAGCCCGAAGGAAGAGGGUAGGGACGGGGAGCCGAGGUGGUCCGCGGUGAAGCAAGAAGACCCUGGGGCAGGAGGGGUCGGCACACCUCGCAUACCUGCAGGCCCAAAUCCGGUCGGCGGCCCAAGAGUGCUCCCUAAAGUGGUCCUCUAAAGGCAGAACCGCUGCGGAGAAGGAAUGAGGAAAACGAGAGGAACGCAUACAAGCUUUGAGGAAGUGGGAAGAUGGGGUAAUGGAGGAGCCACCCUGUAAGGAACAGGCAGGUGUGGCUUCACCAGCACACAGUCCUGAAAAUGUUUCAGUUGUGCCCCCUGCAGAGCCACUGUCGGAGAAGCAGGCCAGCAAAGGUUCGGAUGGGAAGAGCAGGACAGGAAGGUGAAAAGUCCAGCCACACCAUGCAGGGAGAAGACAAAGCCCUGGCUUCCAAAAUAGCAGUCACCACUGGGGCAACGACUCACGGCCCCUCCUGAUCCACCUCUACCUUUGGCCCUCCCACACAGCCUGCAGGCAGCCUGUGUUGACACCACCAAGGACCUCUAGGGCUGAAGGGAGGGAAAAGAGGUCACGGCUAUUUUUCCCCAGCUCCCUCCCUGUGGAGUCACUGCCUCUACAGUCUUCCCAGUUUCCAGUGACCAACCUUCCCUUCUUCCAGGGAUCUGUUACUACCCUUGGGGUACCCUACACUCCACUCCCACCUUUGUAAGAUGACUUUAUUAAACUCUCCUCAGACUACCCUAACUUGAGUAUGUCUUUUGUUUC